rnacentral:lncRNA from 1 species
AAAGCCUUUCUAUUCAAAUGAGACGCACUCCCAUUGUCUCGCUAAGGUCAGCAGCAGGACAUAGAGCAGGGAUUGAGUAGUCUUGGGAGGCGGACUUAUAUUCCCCGGUUACGAGUUGACGACGUUUUCACUACUCAAACUUGAAAAAGUCUUUUACACCUUCGGGAAAGCGUACCGGAAGACCCAACUUUCGCUUAAAAUCCCAGUUUGGAUGAGCAGAGUUAGGCUCGAUUUCGAUUCAUACUGAAAAAUAGGUGAAUAGUUGAUAGCAGAUGGGGUCAAGCUAAAGGCAGAGCUUGAAUUGGAUUUUCCAGUUGGAAAUCCGUUAGAAAAGCUGUACCUUGACAAGCCCCACGAUGCUUCUGGCAGCCAUCAUCGCAGGGACGAAGAGAUUCCCAAGACCAUAACUAUAGACUCAUUCUGCACCAGCCCACUAGCAAAACAAAAGGCAAGGAACUUCUUUGACUAGUAUAGUAUCGGGAACAUGCCUAGAAGAGGAUUUCAGAAUUCCAGAGGCGCGCAAACAAAGCCAUGCUUACUUCAUCUUCACUUCAUGCUUAUACACCUGCUGGACUGUCUAUCCUUCCUUGCUUUUGAUUAGAUGGAUUAUAUCAUCCAAGAGCUUAAACUAAGAGGCCAAUACUUCAAGGAACGAACUUGCAGGCCUUAUCUUAUACCUUACCUCAACUAAAAAAGCUAACGAGAAUGUCGAUUCCAUGCCUUAAGGCUGACUGACGCUUCCCUCUUUCCUGGUCUCCAUUACCCUUCUCCCGAAAAUGCUUUUUCAUCGCUCUGAGCUCAUCAAGUGGAAUAGUUAAUUACGUUUAACAAUCUUCAGCAGCUUUAAGGUAAAGAUGCCAUUUGCAUGAUCCAAGGCCUUCCCUGCAAAAGGCUGUUN